CUGACCUCAGAUCAGGCGGGACUACCCGCUGAACUUAAGCAUAUCAAUAAGCGGAGGAAAAGAAACUAACAAGGAUUCCCCUAGUAACUGCGAGUGAAGCGGGAAAAGCUCAAAUUUAAAAUCUGGCGGUUUUGGCCGUCCGAGUUGUAGUCUGGAGAAGUGUUUUCCGCGCUGGACCGUGUACAAGUCUCUUGGAACAGAGCGUCAUAGAGGGUGAGAAUCCCGUCUCUGACACGGACUACCAGUGCUUUGUGAUGCGCUCUCGAAGAGUCGAGUUGUUUGGGAAUGCAGCUCAAAAUGGGUGGUAAAUUCCAUCUAAAGCUAAAUAUUGGCGAGAGACCGAUAGCGAACAAGUACCGUGAGGGAAAGAUGAAAAGCACUUUGGAAAGAGAGUUAAACAGUACGUGAAAUUGCUGAAAGGGAAACGCUUGAAGUCAGUCGCGUCGUUUGGAACUCAGCCUUGCUUUUUUGCUUGGUGCACUUUCUGAACGACGGGCCAGCAUCGAUUUCGAUUGUCGGAAAAGGGCUGGGGGAAUGUGGCACCUUCGGGUGUGUUAUAGCCUUCAGUCACAUACGGCGGUUGGGAUCGAGGAACGCAGCGCGCCGCAAGGCAGGGGUUCGCCCACUUUCGCGCUUAGGAUGCUGGCGUAAUGGCUUUAAACGACCCGUC
rnacentral:rRNA from 1 species